UGAACGCUAGCGACAGCCGUAACACAUGCAAGUCGAGGGGCAGCACAAGGAGCAAUCUGAGGUGGCGACCGGCGCACGGGUGAGUAACACGUAUGCAACCUGCCUGUAAGCGGGGAAUAACCCGUUGAAAGACGGACUAAUACCGCAUAAUACUAAAUUAACUGCAUGGUAAUUUAUUUAAACAUUUAUGGCUUACAGAUGGGCAUGCGCAUGAUUAGCUAGUUGGAGAGGUAACGGCUCCCCAAGGCAACGAUCAUUAGGGGUUCUGAGAGGAAGGUCCCCCACACUGGUACUGAGACACGGACCAGACUCCUACGGGAGGCAGCAGUGAGGAAUAUUGGUCAAUGGACGAGAGUCUGAACCAGCCAAGUCGCGUGCAGGAAGAAUGUCCUAAUGGAUUGUAAACUGCUUUUGCAGGGGAAUAAAGUGCAUCACGUGUGAUGUUUUGUAUGUACUCUGCGAAUAAGGAUCGGCUAACUCCGUGCCAGCAGCGGC
rnacentral:rRNA from 1 species